GGAUUUUAGCAGUCCCUUCAUUAAGCCUGGAGAACAAAGGCGGGCGGGUGAGGGUCUCCGAAUGUCCAAACACCCUGUCACCCGGAGUGUGAGGCUGCGGCUGCCCCGGGGAGGGCCAGGCGCUGUUUACAGAUGGGAGGAGAUAACCGCAGAGGAAGGUCGCUGGAGUCUUCUCUUCCAUCCUCCCUCUCCCACCCCUGAGGGGGGUCCCUGACCACCCUGAUUCUCCAGCUGGCCUGGAGACCUAUUUCAAGCUCCUGACAGAGGAAUGCAUGGCAGAGCAUGUGAAGCGGGGUGUGAUGUGGGGGCAGGGAAUCCAACCCACGAAUUGGAUUUUACAAUGGCACGCCCACUGCUGCCAAGGGGAAGUGGGAAGCAGGAAUUAAAGCAAUGGAGCAAUGGUUUGAGUCACCCUCUCUGCGCCAGAACAUUCUGAGAAAUCGCUGGUCAGCAAACUGAGGUCUGGAGAGAUGAAGUGACAGGCACAAGCGGAAGCUUCAGGGAGGAAGGCUGCGGGCUGGAGAGAACCUGAGGCUGAGUUUCUUCCAUUUCAUCCAGCGCAUUCACCAAAGCACCCUGUGUGCCGAGGGCAGCGGGGGCCGUACCCUCCCGGAGCUCACGAAUGGGUGAGGGAGAAGCCCCUAGGCGGAGAAACUUACAAUCCCAUGUGGACAUGUGAACUCAGUGAGAGGAGGUGCUGCGGUGAGGGCCACUUCUUGGAGAUUUGGGAAAAGGAGCAGGAUGUUUCUGGCAGUGAGGCUGGGAAGGGCAUCCUUCAUAGCAGAGGGAAGCUGUGAGCAGAGCAGAGGCUGAGGACGACUCCACCCAAGGGGACCGGUGGGGCAGGGGCUGUGCCAGGGCUUGACCCGGAGCUCUGGGCUGUGUCCAGUUCCCUUCAAAUGAGAAAGAAGGCGCCAGAGGUGCAGGGGACAGGGGAUGCCUGCCAGCCAGGCCCCAUCUCCUCUGCUGUUUAGGGACUCGGGUUGGAAUUUCCACGACACUAUUUGGGGGAGGAUGAGGGAGCUGGUGGGAAAUGGGUUUGGGGGCGCGAGGCUUGAUAUCAUUUCUUCCGAUAAAGAGGCAUUGGCUCAGCUUUUCUGUCUUCUGCUUAAUCACUUUCAGAGGCUCAUUAGACUUAGAGGAAAUACACUUGCAAACUCAAACCACAUGCCACCCUCAGAGUACAUACUCCCAUCCCCAAAGCACACGUACCUCAGAGAAAGGAUCAUUGGUUCCCAAGAACAGGAGCCAUUCCGUGGAAGGGGUCACCUGCCUGGAGACUGCAGUGCUCCGAGGCCGUAGAGCAAGGUGGGUGGAAGCGGGUUUGAGAGUUUCAGGGACGGGCUGACUCUCACGGGGCCCUUACCACGUGCCUGCUGCUGUUCUCAUUGCAUUGCACGUAUUAACUCACUUAAGUCCCACCUGAAGGUGGCCACCAUCAUUGUUCCCAAAGAGCAGCUAGGCCCAGACAUGUUAAGUAACUUGCUUCAGAUCACAUGCAGCCAAGUGGCAAAGCCAAAAAUUGUCCAUAGUCAGGCCACCCGGGUUUGCAGCCCAGCUCUGCCAUUGACGAGCUGUGUGUGUUUGAACAAGUUACUCAGCCUUGCUGGUCACUCUUCUCCUGUGUGAAGUACAUGUAGCAAUUACAUCUGCCAACGGGGGGAUGAUUGAAGACCGGAUACACCAUGGGCCUAACACGGUGCCUAGGAUACAGUAAGUACCUGUCAAUUUAAGAAACAGCUGACUAGCUGAGGUCCCACUGAGAUGCCACCUCCUCCACAAGGCGUCUGUCCCUGAAGCUACUAAAGAUCACUCUGUUCAGGUUGGGCAGCACCAGGAUGUCUCCUCUGCAUCCCUACUGUACUGUGGCUAUUUUAUUUGACAAAUCUUCAUAUAGGACUUCCUGUGGGUCAGA
rnacentral:lncRNA from 10 species